UUUGCCGGAAAAUUACGUAAUUUUCCGUGAUCACAUUUUUCUAUUAUCUUUUUUCCUUACAUACAUCAAAUCGCUACGGUAAUUUUUCUACAGAAAAUCCUAGACAAUGCUUAAAUAUCAGAAAAUCCAAACACAACCUUAUAUAUCUAUAUCAGGAUCGAGGUAUAGAUCCACAAAACACAAUAAUGUGUUUAAGAACUGAAAAACUUGAAUUCUAAUUUAGGGGCUACAAUAAAGUUUUAGAAAUGAGGAUUGUGAAGAAAAAACUUUACCACAUGCACCGAUUCUUAGUCCAGAAUCUCUUCAAAGAAAUCGAGCUUUAGGAACUUCUGGUCGUAUUCGAUUUCACUCGACCAUUUGAAGCUUUUCAUGUUUCACAAAGUGAGACUUGAUCGACCUCCCAUAUUCCAAACCAAGGGCUCUUUUAUCACCCCAUAGAAUUCAUAAAGGACCACAUUCAAGAAAAUCAAGAUCUCGUAAUCAUACUUUUUAGAAAUUGUGAUCUCCAAUUUUUCUCAUACAGGAAGCAGCCUAGAUUUUGAAGCAUCAAAGAAGCUUGGAAAGAUGGAGAAGAAAAAGAGCUGAUGUGGCAUCAUUUGAGAGGCUGGAGUACAAUCAAUAAGUAGAGAAUAGAGAAGAAGAAUGGAAAACAAGAAACGUUGAAAAUGACAUGGUAAAUAUUUUGAAGAUGAAUGGUGG
rnacentral:lncRNA from 1 species